rnacentral:rRNA from 1 species
UACGUAGGGUCCGAGCGUUGUCCGGAAUUACUGGGCGUAAAGAGCUCGUAGGUGGUUUGUCGCGUUGUUCGUGAAAACUCACAGCUCAACUGUGGGCGUGCGGGCGAUACGGGCAGACUAGAGUACUGCAGGGGAGACUGGAAUUCCUGGUGUAGCGGUGAAAUGCGCAGAUAUCAGGAGGAACAUCGGUGGCGAAGGCGGGUCUCUGGGCCGAUACUGACGCUGAGGAGCGAAAGCGUGGGGAGCGAACAGG